rnacentral:lncRNA from 1 species
GCAUCCGAAUGCCAUGCCAGGGCCACAGAGAACUGUGUCCAUGCCAAAACUUUCCUGCAUCUAAAACUUACUGUUUCCCUAAACCUCCUCUUAAGGGUCAGAAAUGGUGCAGAGUGACAGGAGAGAUGUCCAAGAAAAGGACCACCAACGUCAGGCCACCCAUCAAUCCGCAGUGGCACAAAACCCACAUCAAGGAAUUGCCACUCAAGGUCUGGUCGCUCCCCCAAAGAUGAAACCAAUCCCAAAACCUUGUCUACUGAAGACACAGUUCCAUGUUGACCAAUCACAGCCUGUCCAUAAUAGCAAUAUGAAUUAUGCAUCAGACCCAGCUUGUUCAGAUGUAGAUGCAACACCAGUCCAGUCUGAAUGCUCCAGCUCACCAGUGCUGUCCUACAGACAAUCAGGUUCUGAGGUUUGUCCCUAUGACAAAUCCCUUCCACUCCUAUCUCUUUCAAAACCAAUUCCUGCUUUCAGGGUCCAGGAUAAAAACAAAAUAACCCUUGAGCAUCAUGAAGUUGGAUUGGUCGGCAACCUUGUCAGGGAAAGUUUGGUUUCUGAGCUACACAAAAGAUUCUCAGGAGCAAUUAAAGAGAGAGACUGUAGCACCAAAAAGCCAAAAGAUUUUAAGGCUAAAGGAGAUCACUCUCCUAAAAUGUUUCGUAACUCUCAGUUAGAAAUGUGCUCAUUGCGCUUCCACACCAAAAGACUGACUGACGGAGAAAGACAACAUGAAAAUGUAUUAAUCUCAGGUGUUUUCACUGGAGAGAGUCCAGUGGACGUUCCUUCUGUGAUAAAAUAUGAAGAAACAGAUAGGGAGAAUCUCUUACUUGAAACUUCUCAAAGGACUCCAACAAUGCUGCCUCUUCCUGGUUUGGUGGACAAACUGAUCGAAAGCCCUGCUAAGAGAGACUUAGACUGCAUGUGUGCUGAUACUAAGAAAAAGCCACUGGAGAACUUGUGGCAAGACUGAAACAUUGAUAGUGGAAUACUACGCCAGCUCAGUAAGGAGCAGCUAAAGCUUCAAGAGGUAUCCUAAAGUGUGAAAAAGAUUGGCAAUACCUGUUUUUCAUUUUCAUUACCUCUACUCUGUUUCUGAUGUUCUCUACACUUUCUCUCAACAUCCUUUGCUCUUGCCCGUCGUUCACACCCUUUCACCCUUUACCAGCAUCUGUAUGAGGUUGUCACUUCCGAGCAGUCCUAUCUUCAGAGAUUGACGAUGGUUGUGGAACAUUUUCAAGAAUCUUCAGUGCUAAAAGAUGCUCUGGCACGAAGAGACAGAAAGUCGUUGUUUUCUAGCAUUGCAAAGAUCAAAGAGAUCAGUCAGAGGUGAGAACCAGACAUUGUGUGUACAGUAAAGCAUACAGAAUGUCUGAGGAGAAAACAUGAUUCCUUCCUGUGUUCAUUGUUCAUUGUCAUGUUCAGAAAAUAAUAAUGUUGGACCUAUAUAUAAUGAUAUGACUUCUUAUAUAGACUACCAUUCAAAGAAAGUUUGGGUUCAUUUUUUAAUACCUUUAUUCAGAAAGAAUGUGAUAAAUUGGUCAACAUAGAUAAAAAAAAGUUAUAUUUAAAAAAAAAACUUCAAAAAGCAAUACUAAAUAUAGCUGCAAGCAGCGAUGGCGGGCCCGAGCCGUCAGCGCAAACGCCACCCCGGUGGCAUCAGGAAAACUGUGCCCAGCGUAACCGUAACCGUCACAGUAACCGUCUAGCACAGCGGUGUCCAACCCUGUUAAUGGCGAUCGACUGUCCUGUAAAGUUUAGCUCCAACCCUACUCAAACACACCUGAACCAACUAAUUAAUGUCUUCAGGAUUGCUUGAAAAUUAAAGGUAGGUGUGACUGAUUAGAGUUGGAGCUGAACUUUGCAGGACAGUCGAUCGCCAGUAACAGGAUUGGGCACACUUACUUUAGCAGUUUGGAUUUAAGGGAUACAGCAAUGAAAGGGUUAAUCCAAACCAUCAAGAGACACACACACAACACAACAUAUAAAACUUGAGUAACACUUCCAAUAAGGUUUCAGUUAUUAACAUUAAUUAUAUUAAUUUACAUAAACAAUAAUUGUCUAGGGUGGGCGAUAUGACCCGUCAAAACAAAAACAAAAAAAAAAAAAAAAAACAAUGAUUUAGUCAUUUUUUCAUUAAGGUGGUUUAAUAUUGGAAAUAUUGUACAUAUGUGUCACAACAUACUGUACACAUCAGAAAAUGAAGAGAGAGAAAAACAAGCAUCCUAGAUAAACUUCUGUUAGAGUCUCAAGUUCGCAACAGAUGACGUACUGUAUCCAUAGUAGCCACAUCCAGGACAUCAGCUUGAAGGGACACAAGUGUUCUCUACUGCAAGUAAUUAAGCAUUCAGAAAUAAUCCAUAGUGUAUUUCAAAGCCUCAGUACUAUUCUCUUACAGAGACAUCUAUGCAGAUAUGCAGUAAAUGGGUGCUUUUUAUUCUGCUUGUUGUAUUUCAAGAAACAGAUCAUUUUAAGACUGAAUUUGGUGUUGUUUGCAGAUGUAAGCAUGGUAUUCUCAUCAUGGUCGGUAGGAAAAGAAACAUUUUAUCAGAAUUCUACAGUAUAGUCCAUUUUGAAAGGUCCUACGUGUGGGAAUAUAGAAUGCAUUUUAAAGCAUGUCAGAAGCAGCAUUUAAGUCAUUGAAAAAAAAAAC